rnacentral:rRNA from 1 species
AUUGAACGCUGGCGGCAGGCCUAACACAUGCAAGUCGAGCGGAUGAAGGGAGCUUGCUCCUGGAUUCAGCGGCGGACGGGUGAGUAAUGCCUAGGAAUCUGCCUGGUAGUGGGGGAUAACGUCCGGAAACGGGCGCUAAUACCGCAUACGUCCUGAGGGAGAAGGUGGGGGAUCUUCGGACCUCACGCUAUCAGAUGAGCCUAGGUCGGAUUAGCUAGUUGGUGGGGUAAAGGCCUACCAAGGCGACGAUCCGUAACUGGUCUGAGAGGAUGAUCAGUCACACUGGAACUGAGACAAGGUCCAGACUCCUACGGGAGGCAGCAGUGGGGAAUAUUGGACAAUGGGCGAAAGCCUGAUCCAGCCAUGCCGCGUGUGUGAAGAAGGUCUUCGGAUUGUAAAGCACUUUAAGUUGGGAGGAAGGGCAGUAAGUUAAUACCUUGCUGUUUUGACGUUACCAACAGAAUAAGCACCGGCUAACUUCGUG